GCAUGCCUGCCAUUUAAUUUGACUCCUUUAAUUUGAUUAGAAGUUUUGUUUGUUUCCAUUUUUAUUCAACCACCUGGAAUCAUUCAAAGUCAGCAUGCUAAGGCCAUCUCCAACCGAAGGGUCCAGAGGGCCAGAGGGCCAAAAUAGACCGAAAGCCAUUUUUCGGCCAAACCAAGAUGAGUUAGCCAUCGGAAAAGGUACCAUUCUCUUCGUCUCGUCGAGAAGUAUGAUUAGCCAUCGGAAAAGGUACCAUUCUCUUCGUCUCGUCGAGAAGUAUGAUUUUUGUUUUUGAAUCACUUGAUUUCGUUGAGUAUUGAAGUAGUUAUGAACGUUUAAAGUUUACUCAGUUUUCGGCGAGUUUUCCAGUUUUCCUUCAGACCAGUCAACUUUGAGGCUAUUUUCCAGCUAUCUCCGGCAGCCAUUGGGCUUCUAAAAAGUUAUAAUCUUAUUCUACACUUUCCUAUCUUCAUUUUGAUAUAUUAUGGGUCGAAUUUGGUUAAGAAACGAUUGCGUUAUGAAGCUUUGAAAAUUGUCCAAACUUCCGACCAAGAGCUCCGGGACACUUAAUGGAGUUUUUAACGAAUGAUCAAAAUGAUGGAUGGUGGACAAUCUCAGGGACCACUUUUAUCGAUUUGAAAUGUUAGGGACCAAAGUGAUGAGUUAUGCAAAUCUCAAGAACCAUUUUGGCUAUUUAGCCUUUUUGA
rnacentral:lncRNA from 1 species